rnacentral:misc_RNA from 1 species
UUAAGUUCAGCGGGUGUUCCUACCUGAUUUGAGGUCAAAUCAUGAAAAAUUUAUAGACACGGAACCACAAGAUAUGGUCGCAUCUAAUAGAUUUUGGCAUUAGGAUGGACGAAUAAAAAAAAAUUUAUGUACGUCUAAAAUGCACAAAAAAAGGUCAAUUUUAAGCCUCUUAAAAACCGAAGUUAAUUAAGAUAACUCAACUCCGGAAACGUCACAAAAAUUGCAACGCACCCGAUUUUUAUUAACACUGACCCUCAAACAGGCAUACUCCCCGGGUUGCCAGAGAGUGCAAUUUGCGUU